UACGGAGGGGGCAAGCGUUGUUCGGAAUUACUGGGCGUAAAGGGCGCGCAGGCGGCUGCUCAAGUCAGGCGUGAAAGGCCUGGGCUCAACCCGGGAAUUGCGCUUGAGACUGGGCUGGCUUGAGUUCGGGAGAGGUGAGUGGAACUGCGAGUGUAGAGGUGAAAUUCGUAGAUAUUCGCAAGAACACCAGUGGCGAAGGCGGCUCACUGGCCCGAUACUGACGCUGAUGCACGAAAGCGUGGGGAGCAAACAGG
rnacentral:rRNA from 1 species